rnacentral:rRNA from 6 species
UUUUUUUAAGAGUUUGAUCCUGGCUCAGGAUGAACGCUGGCGGCGUGCCUUAGGCAUGCAAGUCGAACGGCCGGAGAUCAGAAACCGGAAGUCGGAUGCCGGAAUUCAGAAAUCGGAUUUGCUAUAGUUGUGUGUAUGGAGGUAAGUAAAUUAAGGGUUUACAGACAAUGUCUGCAAGCUUUUCAGAUGGUUGAAGAUAUUGCUAAGGAUUUACCCCCAGAGCUAUUUGACACAAAAAGACAAAUAUUGCGCAGUUCAAAAGCUAUUGCGCCAAUAAUUGCCGAAGGUUUUGGCAGAAAAAGAUCUCAACGCGAGUUCUAUAAAUACGUUAUAGAUGCUAUGAGUUCUUCUGAUGAAACCAUUACACAUUUACGUACUAUUGCAAUGUCCAAAUUUAAUACAAUUCCGAUUGAGAAAUUGAAGAAAACUGCAGAAGUGUACAAGUCUAUUUCUAGACAGCUUAAUAAAUUAUCUUCAACUAUUAAAUCGAAGCUUGUAAUCUGAAUUCCGAAAUCUGAUAUCUGGUUUCUGGUAUCUGAUCUCCGGCAGUGGCGGAAGGGUGAGUAACGCGUGGGAACGUACCUUUUGGUGGAGCAUAGCCUUCCGAAAGGAGGGGUAAUACUGCAUAAUCCCAAGGCUUCGCCUUGUGAAAUUCGAAGCACGAAUAUCGAGACUCGAAACAAAUCACGAUGUUCAAAUUUUCAAAAUCCAAAACGUUUUGAUCAUUUGGAUUUUAGGAUUUAAGUAUUGUUUCGGAUUUCGGAUUUAGAAUUUAGAAUUUCCCAAAGUGGAGCUUUGGGCAAAGGGCUUAACCGCCCGCCGAAAGAGCGGCCUACGUCCUAUCAGCUUGUUGGUGGGGUAAAAGCCUACCAAGGCGAUGACGGGUAGCUGGACUGAGAGGUCGGUCAGCCACAAGGGAACUGAGACACGGUCCCUACACCUACGGGUGGCAGCAACUAGGAAUUUUGGACAAUGGGCGAAAGCCUGAUCCAGCGACGCCGCGUGGGGGAAGAAGGCCUUCGGGUUGUAAACUCCUUUUGUCCCGUGUAAUGCGGGAAGAAUAAGCACCUGCUAACUACGUGCCAGCAGCCGCGGUGAGACGUAGGGUGCAAGCGUUAUCCGGAUUUACUGGGCGUAAAGGGUUGCGUAGGCGUCCAGCUGCAUCUUGUCUGAAAGCCCUCCGCUUAACGGGGGAUCCGGACAGGAAAUGGGCUGGAUUUGAGGUUCAUAGAGGUAGCCGGAACUUGCAGUGGAGCGGUGAAAUGCGUUGAUAUUGCAAGGAACACCGAUGGCGUAGGCAGGCUACUGGGUGAAAUCUGACGCUGAUGCACGAAAGCUAGGGGAGCGAAGCGGAUUAGAGACCCGCGUAGUCCUAGCCGUAAACGAUGGACACUAGCUGUCCGCCAAUUGGUGGAUGGCGCAAGCUAACGCGUUAAGUGUCCCGCCUGGGGAGUACGGCCGCAAGGCUAAAACUCAAAGGAAUUGACGGGGACCCGCACAAGCGGUGGAGCAUGUGGUUUAAUUCGAAACAAAGCGAAAAACCUUACCAGGGUUUGACAUCCUAACUGCACGUUCGCCGAAAGGCGGAUUUCUUCGAGAGUGUUAGGACAGGUGCUGCAUGGCUGUCGUCAGCUUGUACCGUGAGGCGCACCCUUAAGUGGGUUAACAAGCGCAACCCCCAUCCCAUGUUAAAUAUCAUGGGAAACUGCCCGCUAAAAGCGAGGAGGAAGGCGGGGAUGACGUCAAGUCAGCACGGCCCUUAUGCCCUGGGCUACACACAUCCUACAAUGGGUGUAUAACAACGGGUUUGCAACUAGGUAACUGGAAGCUAAUCCUCCAAAAGCAUCCUCAGUUCGGAUUGAGGGCUGCAAUUCGCCCUCAUGAAGCUGAAAUCGCUAGUAAUCGCGGAUCAGCAGGCCGCGGUGAAUACGUUCUCGGGUCUUGUACACACCGCCCGUCAAGCCAACAAAGUCGGGGGUGCCCGAAGUGUCUA